rnacentral:piRNA from 1 species
UGGUGGCCAUGAGUCCAGAGAGAAACAUUU